rnacentral:rRNA from 1 species
GACGAAGGAUGCAAGCGUUAUCCGGAUUCAUUGGGUUUAAAGGGAGCGUAGGUGGUCUUAUAAGUCAGUGGUGAAAUCCUGUCGCUUAACGAUAGAAUUGCCAUUGAUACUGUAGGACUUGAGUACAGUUUGCCGUUGGCGGAAUAUGACAUGUAGUGGUGAAAUACAUAGAUAUGUCAUAGAACACCGAUUGCGAAGGCAGCUGACGAAACUGUAACUGACACUGAGGCUCGAAAAGUGUGGGGAUCAAACAGG